rnacentral:rRNA from 1 species
UCCACGCCGUAAACGAUGAUUACUCGAUGUAUGCGAUACGCAGUAUGCGUCUGAACGAAAGUAUUAAGUAAUCCACCUGGGGAGUACGUCGGCAACGAUGAAACUCAAAGGAAUUGACGGGGGCCCGCACAAGCGGAGGAACAUGUGGUUUAAUUCGAUGAUACGCGAGGAACCUUACCUGGGCUUAAAUGCAGAAUGCAUUUACUCGAAAGAGUAAUUCCCUUCGGGGCUAU